rnacentral:sRNA from 1 species
UGGACAAGCCCAGAGAAUGAAGCUGUCUAUUCAUAGAACAGGUUCAGCAUAGCCAGCAACACUGAUUGCUUCCCAUGUUAACCUGCCAGCAUUUCUCAAACCUGACCUCAGGAGGCAGCUCCUGAGAAUGAGGAGUUCAGCCACCAGUCCAGAGUCCUUGUCUCUGCUGAG